rnacentral:rRNA from 1 species
AUGGCGACCUCCAUGGUUUGCCUGGUUGCGCUCUGCCUCGUGUCUCCGCUGCUCCUCGCCGGCGCCGUCCUCGGCAACCCGGGCUACGGCGGUUUGUUUCCACAGUUCUACGAUCACUCGUGCCCCAAGGCAAAGGAGAUCGUGCAUUCCAUUGUGGCGCAGGCCGUGGCCAGGGAGACCAGGAUGGCGGCGUCCCUCGUCAGGCUGCAUUUCCAUGACUGCUUUGUCAAGGGUUGCGACGCUUCUGUCCUGCUGGACAACAGCACAAACAUUGUGAGUGAGAAGGGGUCCAACCCCAAUAAGAACUCCAUCAGGGGGUUCGAGGUCGUCGAUGAGAUCAAGGUCGCCCUUGAGACCGCCUGCCCCGGCACCGUCUCCUGCGCCGACAUCCUCGCUCUCGCCGUCGGUGGCCCUUACUGGGAUGUGCCACUCGGGCGGAGGGACUCUCUAGGCGCGAGCAUCCAGGGCUCCAACAAUGACAUCCCAGCACCAAACAACACCCUUCCCACCAUCAUCACCAAGUUCAAGCGCCUCGGCCUCAACAUCGUCGACGUUGUCGCCCUCUCAGGUGGCCACACCAUCGGCUUGUCCCGCUGCACCAGCUUCAGGCAGAGGUUGUACAACCAGUCCGGCAACGGCCUCGCCGACAGCACGCUGGACGUGUCCUACGCGGCUCAGCUGAGGCAGGGGUGCCCACGCUCUGGUGGCGAUGACAACCUCUUCCCGCUCGACAUCGUCACCUCCACCAAGUUCGACAACUUCUACUUCAAGAACAUCCUUGCCGGCAGGGGCCUUCUCAGCUCGGACGAGGUCCUGCUCACCAAGAGCGCCGAGACGGCGGCGCUCGUGAAGGCGUAUGCAAAUGAUGUGCAUCUCUUCUUCCAGCACUUCGCCCAGUCAAUGGUGAACAUGGGCAACAUCUCGCCACUCACUGGGUCACAAGGGGAGAUCAGGAAGAACUGCAGGAGGCUCAACAAUUUCCACUGA